UUUCGUUCUUUUUUUUUUUAAAUCACGUUUGUUUCUUUAUUGAGUUACUCAUUUGGGGUCUUUGUCCCCCAGGGCAAAGCUUCUCAAACCAGGGGUGGUAAAGGACCAGUAUGUUUAUUCCCAGUCUGUCACAGACCAAUACUUUCAUAGACUACAUUAAAAAUACACUUCUAGAAAAAUUUCUACUCAAAAAAACAUACUAAAUAUACACCCUAAAUUCUUAUUAUUACAUUUUACGGUCAUAAAUUACUCUGCCAACUUGCUAUAAAGGUUCCUGAACGGUUCCUCUCCGUUUCCGCUGUUUUCGGGAGGAGUGCGUGCUCCACCCCGGGGGGCAAGCUGAACUGACAAAGACUCAAUGCCCCGGGAGGCAGGGGCUACAGUCUUGGCUCCCUUGUCCCUGGGGUGGGGCAGCCCACCAGCCGCUGUCCCCCUGGGCCGUGGCGCCUCCAGCUGCGCCUGGGGUCACUUGCUGUGGCUCACACUCUGCUGGGCUUCCUGCCUUCUCUGUCUCUCUGCCUCCCUCCCCGACUCAAGUGUCGCCUCCCAGACAAACCGCCUGCACUCAAUUCCACGUUUAGGGGCUGCUUCCAGGGGAAUCCAAACAAUUAAUAUACAAUACAGGAUAUGCAAUCCCGAGUGUCACGGGUGCAGCUGCCCGAUGCGACUCAAAUGCAUGUGUGUUACCCUGUAACUGCUGUGCGUCCCUGUGGAAGCCACGAGACAAGUCGGCAGGCAGCAAGGAGCCUGGAGCAGCAGCCAGGGGUCCUACGGGCCCCCCAGAGCAGGAGGGGGAAGCUGGAGACCCCUCUUCCAGGGCCCGGGUCCUCCUCCUCCUCCAGGGGUGGGCAUUUCCUGUCACUGGUGCUCCAGCAAACCAAGCAAGGCUCAGAGAAACCGUGUCUGCCCACAGCCAGGAAGCUAUAAAUAACUCCUGGAUUAGAAGAAGGGGAAAAUAAGCUCUGAUUCCAUCUGCACUUGCUGAGAACACGCCCUCCCAGCCCACGCGCCCCCCCACACCUAGACCCCAAACCCCCAACCAGAGGAAGCCUGGGGGCCCCGCGGUCAGAGGAGGAAGCCACCAGGUCCACAUGCAGUGGCUCUGCCCUGCGGUCAGCCGGCGGUGGCAGACAGGCCUCUGCCAGGGCUUGUCACCUGCAGCAGGAGAGGCACCCAGGAUGGAGGCCGGAUCCCAGUUCUGGGAUCAGCCAAUUCUCUGAGCCCCACAAGGGGGAAGCAGGAGGCACCCUCUUCUCCCGAGAGCCAGCAGGGGGCGGGCAGCCGGGGCGGCAGUUGUGGGGACCGUGACAAGUGGCAUUCCCACCUUGGCGUCCCUUUCUCGGUCACAUCCUCUGCUCCCAUUUCCUCUGUACUCUCGGCUCCUCGUGUGCCUUUCUCUGCUCUGCCACCUGUUGUCCUUCCUUCUACCUCUCCAUCUAUCUCCUGUCUCCUCACAUCCACCUCUCCAUCCAUCUACCCCCUCUCCCCGCAUCCGGAUGCCCCUCUGUCUUCGAAAAGGGCAAAACCGCUGAAGUGGAGUCAGACACACAGGGAACCAGAUGCCAAGUGCUUCUUGGAGGAGCCGAGACCUCUGCGUCCUGAUCCGUGGGAUGGGGACGCUAAUCGGCACCGCGGGGCUGCGGCUAAGAUCCCAGAGGGAAGGCCCUGUGGGUGGAGGGCACGGCCCCUACCCCCACUCCCACCCCCAACCCAGGUCCUCUUCUCCAAAAGCCGCUCCAGCGCGGCCGGCCUGCUCCCGUGGCCAUUUCGGUUUCACUCCUGCAUGCCCUGUCUGCUGGAGACCCAGUCGGGUGUCCCGCAGCACCGCUGACCAGGUCCCCGCCUCCUGUCCGGGCGCAGGGGUCCAGCGGGCACCGGAUGCCUGUCCACGUGCGUGCAGCAAAGAGCCUGGGGGGCGGCAGAAGAAGAGGCAACUUUAUUGACUUUCUCGGGGCCGCCGGGGGCUGGCCCAGCCGGGGGGCGCCGCCGCGGGGGUGCCGGCCUCGGGCCCAGGCGGGAGCAGCACGAGGCCAGGGGGCUGGCCGGCGCCCGCGUGCGCGUAGCUGCGCGCCAGCCUCUCCAGGCGCCGCUUGCGCUCGGCCGCCUGCGCCGUGCUGUGCAGGGGCCGCAGCAGCGCGGGGGGCGGCGCGCCCGAUGCCGCGGAAGUGCGCCUCCCAGAGCUGCGCGUCCCCGCCGUAGAUGUCUGGGAAGGGGGGCUCCGGGGGCGCGGCGGGACCUGCGG
ensembl:lncRNA